GACGAACGCUGGCGGCGUGCUUAACACAUGCAAGUCGAACGGUGACGAAUGGAGCUUGCUCUGUUCUGAUCAGUGGCGAACGGGUGAGUAACACGUGAGUAACCUGCCCCUGACUCUGGAAUAACUUCGGGAAACCGAAGCUAAUACCGGAUAUGACACAGAGCCGCAUGGUUUCUGUGUGGAAAGUUUUUCGGUUGGGAUGGACUCGCGGCCUAUCAGCUUGUUGGUGAGGUAAUGGCUCACCAAGGCGACGACGGGUAGCCGGCCUGAGAGGGCGACCGGCCACACUGGGACUGAGACACGGCCCAGACUCCUACGGGAGGCAGCAGUGGGGAAUAUUGCACAAUGGGCGAAAGCCUGAUGCAGCGACGCCGCGUGAGGGAUGAAGGCCUUCGGGUUGGUAAACCUCUUUCAGUAGGGAAGAAGCGCAAGUGACGGUACCUACAGAAGAAGC
rnacentral:rRNA from 1 species